GCCAAAACCUAGCCGCCACCUCCCGCACGCCCGCACCCCGCUCUGUCCUUGCCUCGCGGCUCCACUCCCAUAACCCUACCCCCUCCUCUCCUCUGCGCCGCCGCCGCCGCCGUCGCCAGUCCUACUCCCCUCACACCGCGCCCCCACGGCCCUUGAGGCGCUGCGCCAGAUCCAAUCCGACCACGGCGCCGUGCGACGCGACGGCGAGUGGGCGCCCGCCCUCCCCGUCCGUGAGCUCGUCCCCGGGGACGUCGUGCAGUGAGUGGGCGAGAGCAGUUGAAGUGAAGGCUCGAAGCAGGCAAGCAGCCGUGACUCGAUGGGGUGCGAGGCGGAGGCGGAGGAGCACGUCUCCGGUCUCCCCGAUUCCGUUCCGGUGGUGGCGUGAUGGGGCCCGCUGACUGGCCGAGCGGGUCAGCGAGCGAUGACGACGACCAAGGGAGAAGGGGAACGGCGCUGCAGCGGCGUGUUGGGGCCUAGGGAGCAAGCGACAGACGCGAUAUGCAGGCUGGGGCCAGGAGAGCUGACUAGAGACGAGGGUUGGGGAGACCGGAACACCCGGCACACCCUUUAGCUACGCCAAUGCCGCUCAAGCUCUGUCGAGACAUGGAACCGAAGCCGUGAGGCGGACAUCAUCAUUUUGUCAGACUAAGUGUGGAGUUACAAGUAUCAUUUUUUCACAAAGGAAGAAAUUCGGAGUAAUUUUCGCUCUUCAUGUUGUGAGAGAACCUGUUCAGUAGGAUGCCAACAUGCAUCAGGAAGCCAACGGACAGCCAGAGCUGGAAGGCAUGGAGCUUGAGCUGCAGUGACGAUGACAACUUGGGUGUCAGCUGCAAAAAACUACAGUUCAAAGUGUUCAACCAAGUGGUGAAUUUUGCUGUGAUUUCCGUGUGUCCAUCCAAAGGAAGUAGAUGAUUGAUAGAGAUUCAGAGGGAGCAAUUGAUAUAGAGAGUUGUUGUGGUUCCUAUUUCUUCAGAUUAUGUUUCUAUUGCUAUUGCGGCCUGAGGUCCAUCCCCGAUCGCCCCUCCUCUCAAGCCGCUACGGUGGCCUAUAUGUUUUAGCGGGUUCCGUCACGCCGGGCUGCCCCAGUCCCUGACCCAGGGUUUGGUGGGCGAGCUCACUACCAUCCUCCCAGUGGUCUUCUUCCUCGCUUGAUUCUUGGGCGCCCCAUCUAUUCUGGACGAGCACCUUCCAGUGGUGGGUGAGGAGAUCUGGCAUGAACCACGCGCCGAGAGGAGCUCAAUUUCUGCUGCCUCUGCACGCCCUAGGCCUAAUCUCACCAAUCUUUGCUACACUUCACAUCAUGAGGGAAGGAGGAUGCGUCCAUCGCAACACUCAAGCAAAUCAGAUGACAAGGUGUUUGGAGCAAGCUACUCAUAGCCAACUACAUAGUUUAGUACAAUGCUGUAUUAAAGCAGUGUAAAUAAAUAACUUAUAUGGCCUACUUUUGGUAUAUAGUACCGAACCUUGAUCUUUAGGUAUUUCACGCUACAAUUGUUAACAAAUGCACCAAUGGUUUGUAACGAGAUUUGAUGUUUUUAGUUGGACCAUUACUGUUGUAAGUAAAUAUCAUCUUCUGCUUUUUGAGUAAUACUAUCAGGUGUUGGGUUGUUAGACUGAAUAAAU
rnacentral:rRNA from 1 species